AUUGAACGCUGGCGGCAUGCCUUACACAUGCAAGUCGAACGGCAGCACGGGCUUCGGUCUGGUGGCGAGUGGCGAACGGGUGAGUAAUGUAUCGGAACGUACCAUUGAGUGGGGGAUAACGUAGCGAAAGUUACGCUAAUACCGCAUAUUCUCUCCGGAGGAAAGCAGGGGACCGCAAGGCCUUGCGCUCUUUGAGCGGCCGAUAUCAGAUUAGCUAGUUGGUGGGGUAAAAGCUCACCAAGGCGACGAUCUGGAGCGGGUCUGAGAGGAUGAUCCGCCACACUGGAACUGAGACACGGUCCAGACUCCUACGGGAGGCAGCAGUGGGGAAUUUUGGACAAUGGGGGCAACCCUGAUCCAGCCAUGCCGCGUGAGUGAAGAAGGCCUUCGGGUUGUAAAGCUCUUUCGGCCGGGAAAAAAUCGCAUGAGUUAAUACCUUGUGUGGAUGAUGGUACCGGAAUAAGAAGCACCGGCUAACUACGUGCCAGCCGCCGCCGUAA
rnacentral:rRNA from 1 species